rnacentral:lncRNA from 1 species
UAGUUGACACACAUGUUACAUGAGUUUCAGGUGCACAAUGUAGUGAUUCAACAAGUGUAUACAUUAUGCUAAAUUCACCAAGUGUAGAUAUCUUGUAUCAUAAUACACUGCUAUUACAGUAUCAUUGACUGUAUUCCUUAUGCUGUGCCUUUUAUUCCCGUGAUUUAUUCAUUCCAUAACUGGAAGCCUGUAUCUCUCACUUCUUUUCACCCAUUUUGCCCAGCCCCCUACCUCCCUCCCCUCUGGCAAACCUCAGUUUAUUCUUUCCAUUUAUGAGUCUGUUUUUGUUUUUUGUUUGUUUUAAUUUUUAGAUCCCAUAUCUAAGUGAAAUCAUAUGAUAUAUGACUUUCUUUGGCUUAUUUCACUUAGCAUAAUACCCUCUAGGUUCAUCCAUGUUGUCUCAAAUGGCACAAUCUCAUCUUUUUUAUGGCUAUACAAUAUUCCAUAAUAUUAUGGAAUUUUUUUGCUACAGAAUAUUCCAAAAUAUGUACAUAUACAUAUAUAUAUAUUCUAACAUAUAUAUAAUAUUCUAUAUAUGUACAUACUGAUAGACACAUGGAUUGCUUUCAUAACUUAGCUAUGGUAAAUAAUACUGCAAUAAACAUAAGGGUGCAUAUAAUCUUUUCAAAUUAGUGCCUUCAUUUUCUUUGGGCAAAUACCCAGUAGUGGAAUUAUUGGAUCAUAUGGUAGUUCUAUUUUCAAUCAUUUGAGAAAAAACUUUUUCCAUAGUGGCUACAACAGUGUAUAAUCUCACUAAUAGUGUGAAAAAGGUCCCUUUUCUCCAUCUCCUCACCAACACUUGUUUCUUUUCUCUUUGAUACUGGCCAUAUCUGACUGGUAGAAGAUAAUAUCUCAUUAUGGUUUUAAUUUGCAUUUCCCUGAUGAAUAGUGAUGCUAACCAUAUUUUCAUGCAUCUCUUGGCCAUUUGUAUGUCUUCAAGGCAUGUGCUUUUGAUUGAAACUGUUUGCUAUAAAGAUAAUAUGAAUUUAAAACUUCCCUCCAAUAGCCAACUCUACCACUAAUCAGGAAGACAUUGCCUGAGAUUAAAGCUAUUAUAGAAGAAAGACGAGAUGAUGGAUGAGGAGAGAAUAAGUGACCUCAGGGCAUCCAUUUAGCCAAAAGGUAGCUCUACUCCCUAUGCUUCUCAGUUAUGUAAACCAAUAAAUCCAUUUUCCCCAAACUAACUAGAUUAGGACUUUUGUCAUUUGCAACUAAGAGUCCUGAAUAAUACAUUUGGUCAGUACUCACAUGUCACCUUAUAAAUGUUCUCUAGCUUUUUCAUACGUACAUUCUUUCUGAUUACACAAUAAUACCUUUAAGGAAAAGACACCAUGUGAUUAAUUUCUUUUUUAAAUCGUGUAGUUCCAAUAGAAAAUUACAGCUCCAAUACAAAAUUAAAUGGAAAUUUAGAGAGAAAGUCAACAAAUUAGUUUAUAGUAGAAUAAAAACCUAUAGUCACCUGUUUCUUUCAGUUUUAUGGCCAUAUUUAAUUAUUUUCCUCCAAAAGUACUUAAGGGUUACACCAUUCCAGGCAAAAUGUCAUACAAAUAACUGAACAGAGCUGGCUUCCAGGCACUUAGCAGCUUUUCAGAGGUUUUUAGCUUUUAUGUUAAAGGCCCAUUUCAAACACUAUACUUCUUGUUACAUACAAAGUGUUCCAAACUCACAAAACUGAACAAGCUAGCAAUAGUUACAGUACCAUCAUGAGUGUCACGUGACAACCUUUUCCCAUGUCAUUAAAAGCAUGAAUUCCAACAGCAGUAUUAAUAGUCCAUCUCUCAUUCUUCUAUCAUGAUUUCAAAAGUAUUUACUUCUGUGACUCUAAUCUCUUAUAAUACUCUUGGUUUGAUGAUUAUUAAUAACCAAAGGUCCACUACUAAAUAUUUGUGAACUUAGUGGGAUCAAAAACAUUCCAAUUUUGUUUUCCAGCCCAUUUACUGCUAAACACACCACAUUAAGUCA